CUGGUGCCUCGUGCCAAACGUAUCUAAGCCAAGACGAUCCAUCAUUGGCUACCAUGCUGCUGUUGCUAUGUGGACGCCUCUCGUUAGGACAGCGGGUGCCAGAAUCGCCGAACGAUCGCAGAAAAUGGACGUGCUAUGCGCUCAUGACCAAGUUUUCAGAUGCCAAUCCCUGGUGGGAUUAUAACCCGACGAGCCAGUACAAUGGUAGUAGCUGCGACGCGCGGAAGGCCCACGGCGCACGUGCUCGAGCCCGUGCUAUGGAACGUGACACACGUGUCGGCUGUGUCGAAGAGCAAGUUGGGGUUGGAACGAGAGGUGUGCACGAGUGUGUUAAGUAGGUUUAUAAGCGACGAACAUCUGCUUCUUCGUGAUUUCCCUGCUUCGAGAGCUUCUCCUAGAAGUUUGACAUUGCGAAAGACUACAGUCUGGUACAGAAGAGACCCGUUUUUUGGUUACACCAUAAAGAUAUCUGCAGCGUUCAGAUUCCGCUCUAUGCAAAAGACGAUGCGAAGCAAUUUCGCCACGUGGCAAGCACACUUUUGUUCGUAGAGUGGAAUACCCGACGUGUAAGGCUGCAACGCCGACCUCCACCCAGGCUUUACAGACGGUAGGCAUCGUCUGCGGUUAAAAACUGCGUUUACAAAGGCUUGCACAGCCAUAAUUGUGACGACUGGCUGUGCGGCAUGCGAUGGCUCGGCUGCGAAGAGAACGUCGACCAUUCACCGUGCCAUGCACUGUUCCUAAUAUGAUUUGCGAGGGCAACUACUAUCCGGCGCACUGCGAACACUGAACUAUCGCCGCGCAGGCGUUACUGCAACACCAUCCCCAACGCUCGCCAGCUCGAAGUGCAACGAAAACACUUUUGUGCUUUCCAAGAACGUCUAGACUGUGCCCGUGCCUUUGAUUGCACGGUGGGGUCCGCGCGCGUACACACAUUCGCCUCAUCUCUCAUUCCUAUUCUCUUCUUCCUUACUGCACCGUAGAGUAUGCAGUGAGAAUAUUUCCUGCCUAACAUCCCCGCCUUUGUUUGUUCGUCUCUCUUUUACUGUGGUCAUCACUGUCGUUGCACACUUUUCAUACACUGACCUCGGUCGGAAAGAAAUACGCGUAGUUACAACGGCGACAAGCAUAAUGAACCCCCAAAUGCAGAAACACCCCAGAUCUGAGUGCUUGCGUCGAUUUGGCACCCUGUGUUCGUGUGCCCAUGACUUUGCCACUACGGUGCCAU